GAUGAACGCUGGCGGCGUGCCUAACACAUGCAAGUCGAGCGUGAUUUAUGAGGACGAAACUUCGGUCUAGGAAUCAUAAUGAAAGCGGCGGACGGGUGAGUAACGCGUAGGCAACCUGCCCUUAACACAGGGAUAGCCUCGGGAAACCGGGAUUAAAACCUGAUGAUGCCAAAGAGUCACAUGGCUCGUUGGCCAAAGAUUUAUCGGUUAAGGAUGGGCCUGCGUCUGAUUAGUUUGUUGGUGGGGUAACGGCCUACCAAGACUACGAUCAGUAGCCGACCUGAGAGGGUGAUCGGCCACAUUGGAACUGAGACACGGUCCAAACUCCUACGGGAGGCAGCAGCGGGGAAUAUUGCACAAUGGGCGAAAGCCUGAUGCAGCAACGCCGCGUGAGCGAUGAAGGCCUUUGGGUCGUAAAGCUCUGUCCUUGGGGAAGAAACAAAUGACGGUACCCAAGGAGGAAGCCCCGGCUAACUACGUGCCAGCCGCCGCGGUAAAAC
rnacentral:rRNA from 1 species